AUUGAACGCUGGCGGCAGGCCUAACACAUGCAAGUCGAGCGGAUGAAGGGAGCUUGCUCCUGGAUUCAGCGGCGGACGGGUGAGUAAUGCCUAGGAAUCUGCCUGGUAGUGGGGGAUAACGUCCGGAAACGGGCGCUAAUACCGCAUACGUCCUGAGGGAGAAAGUGGGGGAUCUUCGGACCUCACGCUAUCAGAUGAGCCUAGGUCGGAUUAGCUAGUUGGUGGGGUAAAGGCCUACCAAGGCGACGAUCCGUAACUGGUCUGAGAGGAUGAUCAGUCACACUGGAACUGAGACACGGUCCAGGCUCCUACGGGAGGCAGCAGUGGGGAAUAUUGGACAAUGGGCGAAAGCCUGAUCCAGCCAUGCCGCGUGUGUGAAGAAGGUCUUCGGAUUGUAAAGCACUUUAAGUUGGGAGGAAGGGCAGUAAGUUAAUAACUUGCUGUUUUGACGUUACCAACAGAAUAAGCACCGGCUAACGUCGUG
rnacentral:rRNA from 1 species